CCUACGGGGGGCAGCAGUAGGGAAUAUUGCUCAAUGGGGGAAACCCUGAAGCAGCAACGCCGCGUGAAGGAUGAAGGUUUUCGGAUUGUAAACUCCUUUUGUUAGGGAAGAUAAUGACGGUAUCUAACGAAUAAGCACCGGCUAACUCCGUGCCAGCAGCCGCGGUAAUACGGAGGGUGCAAGCGUUACUCGGAAUCACUGGGCGUAAAGAGGGCGUAGGCGGGUUAGCAAGUCAGAUGUGAAAUCCUAUGGCUUAACCAUAGAACUGCAUUUGAAACUGGUAUUCUAGAGUAGGGGAGAGGUAGGUGGAAUUCUUGGUGUAGGGGUGAAAUCCGUAGAGAUCAAGAGGAAUACUCAUUGCGAAGGCGGCCUGCUAGAACAUAACUGACGCUGAGGCGCGAAAGCGUGGGGAGCAAACAGGAUUAGAUACCCGAGUAGUC
rnacentral:rRNA from 1 species